CUAAUUGAAAGUUCACAUUUGCAGAUCUAACAAUAAGUGAAUUAGGUUCUUCAACAUUUGCUGCUUGCUUUUGUUGACUCAAUUUUCUCAAUAUAAGUGUUGUAAAUCUGCAACAAGGCAAACUACCAUUUGAGAGGAAUUAUUAGCUUGGAAGGAAGUAAACAAAAAGUUGAAAAAUCAAUUCUUUAGAAAUUGAAGGCUGGUGCGAGGUUGGAGAUUCAAUGGAAAAAGAAGUAAAGCCAUCGGAGCUGCGACUUGAGGAAAAAAGAAGAAGAAUCGGGAAUCUUGUUGAUGAUUUCUUGAAUGGGUUGAAG